GCCAUACAAAACGCCUCAUCACCAGCCAUACAAAACGCCUCAUCACCAGCCAUACAAAACGCCUCAUCACCAGCCAUACAAAACGCCUCAUCACAAGGGCUAUUUAAGGUUCCCUGGCCCCUCUGUGUUGGCUAAAGACAGGGCUAUUUAAUUAAGGUUCCCUAGCCCCUCUGUGUUGGGUAAGGACUGGUCUAUUUCAUUAAGGUUCCCUGUCCCCUCUGUGUUGGGUAAAGACAGGUCUAUUUAAGGUUCCCUGUCCCCUCUGUGUUGGGUAAAGACAGGUCUAUUUAAGGUUCCCUGUCCCCUCUGUGUUGGGUAAAGACAGGAUUUUUACCCCCCCCCUGGCCGUCAAGAGGAGUGCACCAGCUUUGGCGUCUACUCUGAGCCACUCCUGUAGCUUCGUUUCACUGAGACCUAUUCUAUAAUUUCAGAUCUAAAGGAGUGGGGAUACAGAGGGGUAGUUUGGGCAUUUAGAAAGGGUUGAGAUAUGGACAUGUGGACCCUGUAUGUAUCAAUGGUGAUCCUGAACUGGCAGAUCUCAAAUCAUCUAGUCUCUCUUGUUCAGAUCACUGUGUCUCAAACAUCUAGUCCCUCUUGUUCAGAUCACUGUGUCUCAAUCAUCUAGUCUCUUGUUCAGAUCACUGUGUCUCAAACAUCUAAUCUCUCUUGUUCAGAUCACUGUGUCUCAAACAUCUAAUCUCUCUUGUUCAGAUCACUGUGUCUCAAACAUCUAAUCUCUCUUGUUCAGAUCACUGUGUCUCAAACAUCUAGUCUCUCUUGUUCAGAUCACUGUGUCUCAAACAUCUAGUCUCUCUUGUUCAGAUCACUGUGUCACUUGCAUAAUGCUUGUAUUAAUGCUUUUAUAAAAAUCUCUCCAAUUGUAGCCUUUGUCCCAUCCUAAAUAAAUACAAUGUAAACGUAUUUACCUGGAGCCUUGUGGACAUUUGACUUAACAGCAUGAAACGAUCUUCA
ensembl:lncRNA